rnacentral:lncRNA from 1 species
ACGCCAUGUGUAAAAGGAUUACAAUUGAAGUCUGGCCAUCUUGAAGAGAUUGAGUAGCAUGGCAAAAUUUACUUCUGGUCCCCGACCAAAAGCAGCGUUGAAGAAGUAUGUUGGCCACCACAGAUGAAAUAAACUUUUGUAUUAAUGCUCCCCACUCUUGUUCUUUCUCAUACAUGUACUUUAUUCUUUAGUUAUAUCUUGACUCACAAUGACAUUUCGACACAGAGAUUUGUCAGUGCCUAGAAAUAAAUUGCUACAUUUUUACUGGAGCCCAUCUGGCAGAUGAUUAAAACAGAGGCAUACUUACUGAAGCUGUACCAACACUUACUCAUAAUCUUAUAUUGCUGAUUAAAGGUGUUUUACUUUCAUGCCUCUGCUCUUUAGGGCGUUGUAACCUGAAACCAAAAUGUCAGCAUGAAGGAUUCACAGGCCUGUUAAGCACCAACUCCCAUUCUGAAACACAGUUCUGAACUUUUUCAGGCAGUGCUUUAUGUUAUAUUUGUGACUCUCUACAAGGCUGGUUGAACCUUCCCCACCAUCAGCUGCGCUCACUGCCCAUUUUGGGACACAGCGGGAAGCAGAGAGGAAAACUUAAAACUACCAUGGGGCAUUUUCGGGAGAAGAGUUGGGAAGAAAGGAGAAGGGCAGAAGUGUAGCAGCUACAAAAUUAUGGGAGAGAGGAUGAGUGAUCGAACCCACUUGCUUUUUGCAGUUAUUCUUUGCAAGAGCCCUCAAAAGCCUUUGGGGGCAUUCCUCUUCCUAACCUACAUGCUUACAAAGAGACCUUGUACAGGAGAAUAUUUUAGAAAGUGAAUGGAAACUGAGGUGAGUCAAAAGAAGUUCAACAUGUAUUACUGUUUGUGCUUUCACUGAAGUCUAAAGCCCUAUUCAGAUAUUGGCAUUGUAUUGUGUUUGUGUAUUCUGCAAAGUCCUGUGCGCAAUAAACUGAACUAGUUCUAGUCUAGUUCGCUCUGU